UACGGGGGGGGCAAGCGUUGUUCGGAAUUACUGGGCGUAAAGGGCUCGUAGGCGGCCAACUAAGUCAGACGUGAAAUCCCUCGGCUUAACCGGGGAACUGCGUCUGAUACUGGAUGGCUUGAGUUCGGGAGAGGGAUGCGGAAUUCCAGGUGUAGCGGUGAAAUGCGUAGAUAUCUGGAGGAACACCGGUGGCGAAGGCGGCCUGCUGGGCAGUAGCUGACGCUGAUGCGCGACAGCGUGGGGAGCAAACAGG
rnacentral:rRNA from 1 species